AUUGAACGCUGGCGGCAGGCUUAACACAUGCAAGUCGAGCGGGGUGAUGGUGCUUGCACUAUCACUUAGCGGCGGACGGGUGAGUAAUGCUUAGGAAUCUGCCUAUUAGUGGGGGACAACAUCUCGAAAGGGAUGCCAAUACCGCAUACGUCCUACGGGAGAAAGCAGGGGAUCACUUGUGGCUCUGCGCUAAUAGAUGAGCCUAGGUCGGAUUAGCUAGUUGGUGGGGUAAAGGCCUACCAAGGCGACGAUCUGUAGCGGGUCUGAGAGGAUGAUCCGCCACACUGGGACAGAGACACGGCCCAGACUCCUACGGGAGGCAGCAGUGGGGAAUAUUGGACAAUGGGGGGAACCCUGAUCCAGCCAUGCCGCGUGUGUGAAGAAGGCCUUAUGGUUGUAAAGCACUUUAAGCGAGGAGGAGGCUCUUUUGGUUAAUACCCAAGAUGAGUGGACGUUACUCGCAGAAUAAGCACCGGCUAACUCUGUGCCAGCCGCCGCUGUAA
rnacentral:rRNA from 1 species